rnacentral:lncRNA from 1 species
CCGGAAGUCGCUUAGACGACUGCCCCACUGUGGGCGCCAACUAUCAUGGAAACGAGCCUGACAGUAGAGGUUAGGGGUACGUAAAGAGAGGGCAGAGUCCUAGCUAUGGUGAGUUUGUACACAUGAAUGUAUGAGUUCAAGCCGCUCUUGUGGACGUAACAACCCUACAUCUCAGUGCUCAGGAGCUUCUGUCGUGUGGAAAGUGUGAGUUACACGGGGUGCGAACCCUUGUGCCAGAGGGGAGGGGUGGCUUAUAUAGAGUGUGAUGCCCCUCAUCAAUCCCCGGCAACCAAGGGUUCAAUCAUGGUAAUAAAGGUGAACGUUACUGAUAACGUAUGCAAUAAAUGCUACUUAUGGCGACCAGUCAAACGUCUGUCGUUGGCCUCCCUAGAGUAGCUUCUGAUCUUUUGCGGUCGACUAGCUUCUUGUUCUUCCGAGUGAAAGGCAACUGUCGAAUGGAGGGAGAAACCUCCGAGUGGAUGUAGUGUCUAGUGACUCAUGCGCCAUCGUGAUUCUAGUCGGAGUCUUCUUUGUAGUCUUUAAGUCCUCCAACGUAGUGUCCUUAGGUAGGGCAUGUACGUCAGGCCUAAGACCCUACCGUAGGUACAUAUCCCCAUCAAUAGGUGCAUUAAUUACAUAUCAUUUAAAUAAGAUGAUAAUCAAAUUGCCCAUGUUAUCACAUGGACCAGCUGCACCUGCAACUAGCAAAGUUAUAAGAUGGUUGAGCAAGCACUAACUUAGCCAAACAAUAUUUGCUAGGAGGUGAAGGGUUAGAGGUUUCAUGGCAAUGUUUGGAGGCUUAUUUAUCAGGUGGUAGGCAGCAAUAGGUAAUGAUGGAAACGAUUCAACUAGGCAUAACAAAUCUAGGAACGGUGUCAGGGUCAUGAUCAUCUUGCAUGUGAGAUCUUUAGACUGGAACUGCUCCUUAUCUUCCUGAACAUACUCAACGGAAUCCUCGAACUCGUUCUCAGCACCCGAUGCUACCCAAAAUAAAUAGGCAGCCAAUAAAAACCAGCAAGUGACAAUGCUACAAGCAAUAUGGUGCAUGUGUGGCAUGAAAGGAAGCAUGACAUUUCUAUACUAGUCAUCUUUCAUGCAUUACUUGAGUUAUUACUAUUCUGGAUAGAACCUCAAGUUAACUUAAUUAGACAUGCAUGAUCAUGGCAGGAAUGGAUGCAUCAUGAGAGAACAGUGCAAGAACAUAUAGAAAACGUCGUAAACCGAGUUACGGAACUACCGGAAACUACAAAACAAGAUACGGAAGCUUACGGAGACAAAACAGCAAUAAACCACAUGCUAUGGGCAUCCACUUAUCUACUGGCGUAUCAUGCCAAACAAAAUACCAGGCCCUAGUCUUCACAAAAGCUAGAACUUUCAUGUUGGCACAAACUUCAAAACAUGCACAGAACAAAUUACUACAAAAAUGACAAAAUGACACCUCAUCACAAAAUGACAUUUUUUGCAAACUUGCUCAAAAGUGAAAUCCAAUGUCGCCAUCGGAUUCCUUGUGUUUUUCUACCCCAAAAACAUAUAUCACACUAACAUACUUGCAUGCAUAAAAAUAACACAAAACAAAAAAGAAAAUCUACUCUAAAUCCUAAAUCACUUAUAUGUCAAAUUACUGCCAGAUUUGACAUAUGCNUUAGUGCAUGACAGGUGGGCCCUAUGGCCCACCAUUAGUGCCCCCUUAGUGCAUGACAGGUGGGCCCUGUGGCCCACCAUUAGUGCCCCCUUAGUGCAUGACAGGUGGGCCAUGUGGCCCACCAUUAGUCGCACACCUACAACACAACAAUACAUAGAGAAAUUAAAGGGGGGUAGGGGCCUCGAACCCACCACCUCACGGCUACACCACACAACAGCUACCACUGGGCUACGCAUGCAGAUCUAACUAUAGAGGGGAGGAAACAAAGUUAUACACAUAUCUAAUUACACAUCGCAACAGAGAGCAAAGCACAAAUUAAAAACAACUAUGCGGGGUGGGAUUCGAUCGCGUGACCACUCGGUCACACACGCUAAGUUCAACAAGUUGGGCUACUGCAGGGGUUCUGCCAGGUGAGGGUAAUCGCACUAGCUAUUACACAAAAAGGGGUCGCCUUCCCUGCUGCAAUAGAGAGGCGACGGCGGCGACCCUGCUCACUGGUGCAACUCAUGCGCGGCAGCAUAGGGCAGCUAUGUGGAGCUACUACGCACAUCUAUGUUGGCUACGCAGCACAUCUACGCAUGCAAUAGAGACGCGAUGCAUGUGACGAACAGCUGCGGCUGGUGCAACUCCGGCGAGGCAAGCCGCUAGCUAGCGCAAGCGACGCGAGCGCUGCGCACAGAGGGAGGGGAAGCGGAGAGGCGAGGCUCACCCAGGGUCAGAGGAGAGGGGCACACGACGACGGAGGGGUGAGGUACACAUCGUCGUGGUUCACAAAAUAAGCCCCGACAUGGAUGAAGUGGCGAUCGUUAGGGACGGCGAGGGCAUCGAUAUUGGCGGCUGCUCUCCAUGGAAAUGGAACGUCACGGUCGCCGCGGGCUCCUGGUGCUGCUCGGGAAGACGGGGACGCUGGCUCACCACGGCGCCGAGCGCAUGUGGGGAGCGACCAUGGCUAUGGUGGUGCUUUGCAGGGUUGCUAGACGGCGCGAGGAGAAGAGGAGGAGGAAACGGCGACGGCUAGGGUUGGGGGAGCUGCGGUGCGUUUUAUAAUGGCCAGG